rnacentral:rRNA from 1 species
AUGGCCAUACCACAUUGAAAACACCGGUUCUCGUCCGAUCACCGAAGCAAUGUCAGGCCCGGUCAGUACUUGGGAGGGUGACCACCUGAGAACACCGGGUGCUGUUGGAUAUU